GCUCAGAUUGAACGCUGGCGGCAGGCCUAACACAUGCAAGUCGAGCGGUAGAGAGAAGCUUGCUUCUCUUGAGAGCGGCGGACGGGUGAGUAAUGCCUAGGAAUCUGCCUGGUAGUGGGGGAUAACGUUCGGAAACGGACGCUAAUACCGCAUACGUCCUACGGGAGAAAGCAGGGGACCUUCGGGCCUUGCGCUAUCAGAUGAGCCUAGGUCGGAUUAGCUAGUUGGUGGGGUAAUGGCUCACCAAGGCGACGAUCCGUAACUGGUCUGAGAGGAUGAUCAGUCACACUGGAACUGAGACACGGUCCAGACUCCUACGGGAGGCAGCAGUGGGGAAUAUUGGACAAUGGGCGAAAGCCUGAUCCAGCCAUGCCGCGUGUGUGAAGAAGGUCUUCGGAUUGUAAAGCACUUUAAGUUGGGAGGAAGGGCAGUUGCCUAAUACGUAACUGUUUUGACGUUACCGACAGAAUAAGCACCGGCUAACUCUGUGCCAGCAGCCGCGGUAAUACAGAGGGUGCAAGCGUUAAUCGGAAUUACUGGGCGUAAAGCGCGCGUAGGUGGUUUGUUAAGUUGGAUGUGAAAUCCCCGGGCUCAACCUGGGAACUGCAUUCAAAACUGACUGACUAGAGUAUGGUAGAGGGUGGUGGAAUUUCCUGUGUAGCGGUGAAAUGCGUAGAUAUAGGAAGGAACACCAGUGGCGAAGGCGACCACCUGGACUAAUACUGACACUGAGGUGCGAAAGCGUGGGGAGCAAACAGGAUUAGAUACCCUGGUAGUCCACGCCGUAAACGAUGUCAACUAGCCGUUGGAAGCCUUGAGCUUUUAGUGGCGCAGCUAACGCAUUAAG
rnacentral:rRNA from 1 species